AAUAUUGCACAAUGGGCGCAAGCCUGAUGCAGCCAUGCCGCGUGUAUGAAGAAGGCCUUCGGGUUGUAAAGUACUUUCAGCAGUGAGGAAGGUGGGUAUGUUAAUAGCAUAUUCAUUUGACGUUAGCUGCAGAAGAAGCACCGGCUAACUCCGUGCCAGCAGCCGCGGUAAUACGGAGGGUGCGAGCGUUAAUCGGAAUUACUGGGCGUAAAGCGCAUGCAGGUGGUUUGUUAAGUCAGAUGUGAAAGCCCGGGGCUCAACCUCGGAAUUGCAUUUGAAACUGGCAAACUAGAGUACUGUAGAGGGGGUAGGAAUUUCAGGUGUAGCGGUGAAAUGCGUAGAGAUCUGAAGGAAUACCGGUGGCGAAGGCGGCCCCCUGGACAGAUACUGACACUCAGAUGCGAAAGCGUGGGGAGCAAACAGGAUUAGAUACCCUGGUAG
rnacentral:rRNA from 1 species